rnacentral:ncRNA from 1 species
GAUAGUAGCAGAUAAUCGAAUGAGAUCUUGGAUGACUGAAGUGGAGAUGGGUUCCGUGUAAACAGUGGUUGAUCUCGGGUUAGUCGGUCCUAAGCUCCAGGCGAAAACUGAACAUAUAAAAAAAACUUUGAGUUUUAAUAAAUCGGUUGUAAACCGGUAAAUAAUGCGAAAGUACGUUAAAGCAUUUAUGUCACAAGUUCGUGUAUUUUGCAAAGCAUAGGACGCCUUGACAGUCCUGUUUCUAAAAACAGAAUAAUAAUGCU